rnacentral:lncRNA from 1 species
ACUAUGCCUCAGCAUAUACCACUUGUAUAGACAAAUAGUAGGUCAUAGAGUCCAAGUCAUACAUUUUAUAUAAUUAAAUAACCGACUUAAUUAAUCCAUUUUUUCUUUCUUUCUUUUUUCUUUUCUUCAUUAUAGAUUAUUCCAUCUCACCUCAUCUUCUUUAUGGUGAUGACACCUCUAUGACUGUGCCGCCAUAAAUAAUCAACACCCGUUAAAUAUAUAAUUUUCCCCCAUUGAUAUAGCUAGGUUAAGUUUUAUUUUUAGGGUUGAUUUUGAUUGUCAUCAAUUACGCUGCGUUUGUUUAGAGAGAUAAGACACUGAGAUAAGGACACAGAGACAUAAAAUUAUGUUUGACUGAGAAGACAUGAACAGAGAGUCAGAGACAAUGUGUCUAGAGACACUGAAUUAGUGUAUUUUGUGUCCAUCCUGACAGAAAUGAUACGGAGACACUAACAAAGGAC